GGAUUCCCCUAGUAACUGCGAGUGAAGCGGGAAAAGCUCAAAUUUAAAAUCUGGUAGUCUUUGGCUGCCCGAGUUGUAAUCUAGAGAAGCGUUAUCCGCGCUGGACCGUGUAUAAGUCUCCUGGAAUGGAGCGUCAUAGAGGGUGAGAAUCCCGUCUUUGACACGGACUACCAGGGCUUUGUGAUGCGCUCUCAAAGAGUCGAGUUGUUUGGGAAUGCAGCUCUAAAUGGGUGGUAAAUUCCAUCUAAAGCUAAAUAUUGGCGAGAGACCGAUAGCGAACAAGUACCGUGAGGGAAAGAUGAAAAGAACUUUGGAAAGAGAGUUAAACAGUACGUGAAAUUGUUGAAAGGGAAACGCUUGAAGUCAGUCGCGUUGGUCAGGGAUCAACCUUGCUUUUUUUGCUUGGUGUACUUCCUGGCUAACGGGUCAGCAUCAAUUUUGACCAGUGGAAAAAGGUCAAGGGAAUGUGGCAUCUUCGGAUGUGUUAUAGCUCUUGAUCGUAUACAUUGGUUGGGAUUGAGGAACUCAGCACGCCGCAAGGCCGGGUUUUUAACCACGUUCGUGCUUAGGAUGCUGGCAUAAUGGCUUUAAUCGACCCGUCUUGAAACACGGACCAAGGAGUCUAACAUGCCUGCGAGUGUUUGGGUGGAAAACCCGAGCGCGUAAUGAAAGUGAAAGUUGGGAUCUCUGUCGUGGAGAGCACCGACGCCCGGACCAGACCUUCUGUGACGGAUCCGCGGUAGAGCAUGUAUGUUGGGACCCGAAAGAUGGUGAACUAUGCCUGAAUAGGGUGAAGCCAGAGGAAACUCUGGUGGAGGCUCGUAGCGAUUCUGACGUGCAAAUCGAUCGUCGAA
rnacentral:rRNA from 1 species